rnacentral:rRNA from 1 species
AUUGAACGCUGGCGGAAUGCUUUACACAUGCAAGUCGAACGGUAGAGGGGGCAACCCCUUGAGAGUGGCGAACGGGUGAGUAAUAUAUCGGAACGUGCCCAGUCGUGGGGGAUAACGUAUCGAAAGUUACGCUAAUACCGCAUACGAUCUAAGGAUGAAAGCGGGGGAUCGCAAGACCUCGCGCGACUGGAGCGGCCGAUAUCAGAUUAGGUAGUUGGUGGGGUAAAGGCUCACCAAGCCAACGAUCUGUAGCUGGUCUGAGAGGACGACCAGCCACACUGGAACUGAGACACGGUCCACACUCCUACGGGAGGCAGCAGUGGGGAAUUUUGGACAAUGGACGCAAGUCUGAUCCAGCCAUUCCGCGUGCAGGAUGAAGGCCCUCGGGUUGUAAACUGCUUUUGUACGGAACGAAAAGGUCUCUCCUAAUACGAGAGGCUCAUGACGGUACCGUAAGAAUAAGCACCGGCUAACUACGUGCCAGCAGCCGCGGUAAUACGUAGGGUGCAAGCGUUAAUCGGAAUUACUGGGCGUAAAGCGUGCGCAGGCGGUUAUAUAAGACAGAUGUGAAAUCCCCGGGCUCAACCUGGGAACUGCAUUUGUGACUGUAUAGCUAGAGUACGGUAGAGGGGGAUGGAAUUCCGCGUGUAGCAGUGAAAUGCGUAGAUAUGCGGAGGAACACCGAUGGCGAAUGCAAUCCCCUGGACCUGUACUGACGCUCAUGCACGAAAGCGUGGGGAGCAAACAGGAUUAGAUACCCUGGUAGUCCACGCCCUAAACGAUGUCAACUGGCUGUUGGGUCCUAACUGACUCAGUAACGAAGCUAACGCGUGAAGUUGACCGCCAGGGGAGUACCGCCAGCUAAGGUUGAAACUCAAUACGAANUGACGGGGACC